GAUGAAGAACGUAGCGAAAUGCGAUAAGUAGUGUGAAUUGCAGAAUUCCGUGAAUCAUCGAAUCUUUGAACGCACAUUGCGCCUCCUGGUAGUCCGGGAGGCAUGCCUGUUCGAGCGUCACCAAAUCCAACUCAAGCGGUUUUGCGCUUGGUCGUGGCGGAAGAGUCGGUCUGGUUGCCGUCUCCCCUCCGAAAAUCAACGGCGGAAAGUCACUGGCAGUCAGCGUAGUAGUAUCGUUCGCCGAACAUCCAGUGGCAUUCCUGCCGACGUACCCCCACAAUUCUCGUGAUUGACCUCGGAUCAGGUAGGGAUACCCGCUGAACUUAAGCAUAUCAAAAGCGGAGGA
rnacentral:misc_RNA from 1 species